CCUUUGUCUAGGAAUAUUACUGCAUAAGCCUAUGUUUCCCUCCAGUGAAUCUGCUGUUGCGUUUUCAAACGCGGGAUUUUCUGGUAGCGGACCCUCGAGUUUAUUGUUUGAUAUAUCGAUAUAUGUCAGCCCUUUCAUGCCCUGAAAACUUGUGGGAAUGAUACCGGAAAGAUUGUUGUGUGACAGGUCGAGCUUGUUAAGGCUCUGUAAGGAGCUGAGUUGUGAUGGGAUUUCUCCAUCUAGCUGGUUGUAGCUGAGAUCAAGAUGAUUUAACUGAGUAAGUUUUGUUAGUCGGGGAAUGCAUCCGUUGAACAUGUUCCUGCUCAGGUUCAUGUCAUGAAGCUUUAAAAAUGAAUCAAAGGUUUGUGGGAUCUGACUAAAAUUGUUUGAAGAUAAGUCCAGAUACUCAAGCAUGGUUAAGACACUCAACCUUGCGGGAACUCUUCCAGAUAGCUGAUUCCCAUUAAGUAGUAGCUUUGACAAACCUGUGAGUUUUCCAAUUGAUUCUGGAAGCUCACCAAUUAGGUUGUUGGUAGACAGAUCCAACUCAACUAGUUGUGUCAUGUUCCAAGUCUCUGGUGGGAUAACACCUGUGAUGUUGUUGUUUGACAUGAUCAAGGCACCUAGUUUUCGACUCUUCUCCCAGUUGCCUGAAAUCUCACCAUGGAAUUUGUUGUGACUAAGAUCAAUGAAAUCAAGAUGUGGGUAAACACCAAAAGCUUCAGAAAUAUCUCCAAUGAAUAUGUUCCCUAUGAAUCUUGCUCUAAUCAAGCUCUGACAAUUUUUCAAACUUUUUGGUAUAGGACCUUCGAGGUGAUUAUCAUCUAAUGAGAGAUAUUGAAGCUUCCCACCUUCACAAAUGUUUCCAGGCAAGAAACCAGUGAAGUUGUUUCUACCGAGUUGCAAGAUAGUCAACUUUGAAGAGUUUGAUACUCCUAGUGGAAUAAGACCAGAGAGGUGGUUAUCACUAAGGCACAACAAUUCCAGGUUGGUAAAGUUUCCAAAGGAAUUAGGAACAUAACCUAUAAGAUUGUUCUGACUUAUCGCCAACUGAAUCAUGGAUUCCAUGUUUCCUAGUUCCACGGGAAUGAAACCACUUAGAUAAUUCAUAUCAAGAUAAAGACCUGUCAAGCUCUUCAGGUUUCCUAAGGAAGAAGGAAUUGAACCCGAGA
rnacentral:lncRNA from 1 species